AUUGAACGCUGGCGGCAGGCUUAACACAUGCAAGUCGAGCGGGGAAAGGUAGCUUGCUACCGGACCUAGCGGCGGACGUGUGAGUAAUGCUUAGGAAUCUGCCUAUUAGUGGGGGACAACAUCUCGAAAGGGAUGCUAAUACCGCAUACGUCCUACGGGAGUAAGAAGGGGAACUUCGGACCUUGCGCUAAUAGAUGAGACUAAGUCGGAUUAGCUAGUUGGUGGGGUCAAGGCCUACCAAGGAGACGAUCUUUAGCGGGUCUGAGAGGAUGAUCCGCCACACUGGGACUGAGACACGGCCCAGACUCCUACGGGAGGCAGCAGUGGGGAAUAUUGGACAAUGGGGGGAACCCUGAUCCAGCCAUGCCGCGUGUGUGAAGAAGGCCUUAUGGUUGUAAAGCACUUUAAGCGAGGAGGAGGCUACUUUAGUUAAUACCUAGAGAUAGUGGACGUUACUCGCAGAAUAAGCACCGGCUAACUCUGUGCCAGCCGCCGCUGUAA
rnacentral:rRNA from 1 species